GCCAUAGCAGGCUGGGUCUCGAGUCGGGAGGGUGCUGCCACCCCAUGCCUGGUACUCUUUCUGUGCCUCUUCUUGCCUAGGAGUGUCUGGAAAAAUUCACCGUGAGCCUGAACCACAAGCUGGACAGCCAUGCGGAGCUUCUAGAUGCCACCCAACACACACUGCAGCAGCAGAUCCAGACCCUGGUCAAGGAAGGUCUGCGGGGUUUCCGAGAGGCUCGCCGGGAUUUCUGGCGGGGGGCUGAGAGCCUGGAGGCUGCCCUGACCCACAACGCAGAGGUUCCCAGGCGCCGGGCCCAGGAGGCAGAAGAGGCAGGAGCUGCUUUGAGGACGGCUCGAGCUGGGUACCGGGGACGGGCACUGGAUUAUGCCCUGCAGAUCAAUGUGAUUGAGGACAAGAGGAAGUUUGACAUCAUGGAGUUUGUGCUGCGUUUGGUGGAGGCCCAGGCUACCCAUUUCCAGCAGGGCCAUGAGGAGCUGAGCCGGCUGUCCCAGUAUCGAAAGGAGCUGGGCGCCCAGUUGCACCAGCUGGUCUUGAAUUCAGCACGAGAGAAGAGGGACAUGGAGCAGAGACACGUGCUGCUGAAACAGAAG
rnacentral:sRNA from 1 species